UAUCGAGGACGACCUCCCCACCAUGGGCACGACUGCGGGACGACCCGG
rnacentral:ncRNA from 1 species